rnacentral:rRNA from 1 species
UGGGGAAUUUUGGACAAUGGGCGAAAGCCUGAUCCAGCAAUGCCGCGUGUGUGAAGAAGGCCUUCGGGUUGUAAAGCACUUUUGUCCGGAAAGAAAUCCUUGGCUCUAAUACAGUCGGGGGAUGACGGUACCGGAAGAAUAAGCACCGGCUAACUACGUGCCAGCAGCCGCGGUAAUACGUAGGGUGCAAGCGUUAAUCGGAAUUACUGGGCGUAAAGCGUGCGCAGGCGGUUUGCUAAGACCGAUGUGAAAUCCCCGGGCUCAACCUGGGAACUGCAUUGGUGACUGGCAGGCUAGAGUAUGGCAGAGGGGGGUAGAAUUCCACGUGUAGCAGUGAAAUGCGUAGAGAUGUGGAGGAAUACCGAUGGCGAAGGCAGCCCCCUGGGCCAAUACUGACGCUCAUGCACGAAAGCGUGGGGAGCAAACAGGAUUAGAUACCCUGGUAGUCCACGCCCUAAACGAUGUCAACUAGUUGUUGGGGAUUCAUUUCCUUAGUAACGUAGCUAACGCGUGAAGUUGACCGCCUGGGGAGUACGGUCGCAAGAUUAAAACUUAAAGGAAUCGGGGUCAUAGCUGUUU